CCCUUAGAUGUCCUGGGCUGCACGCGCGCUACACUGGAAGUUACGGAUUGAGAUACUACCUUGUCCGAAAUGGUCCGGGUAAUCACCUAAAAGCUUGUCAUAAUUGGAAUGGAUUAUUGUAACUAGUAAUCCUGAACGAGGAAUUCCUAGUAAGUCCCAGUCAACAGCUGGUACUGAUUACGUCCCUGCCCUUUGUACACACCGCCCGUCGCUACUACUGAUUGGACGUUUAAGCAAGAUUUUUAAACACUGACAGUGUGUAGUUCACGCUAUACUACAGUGAGAAGAAGAAGAUCGAGCAUACUUGUCUAGAGGAAGUAAAAGUCGUAACA
rnacentral:rRNA from 1 species